rnacentral:rRNA from 1 species
UACAGAGAGGGCGAGCGUUAUCUAUGUUGACUGGGCGUAAAGGGUGUGUAGGCGGACUUUAUCAAGAAAGCUUGUAAGGAAUGUUUGCGUAUUGACGCAUACCUUAUCUUGCAAUAUUAGUCUAUUUGAGAUAUAAUGGGGUUAGUGGAAGGCGACAUGUAAAUGGGCAAUAGUCUUUUGAAGAUGUUGAGUAACACUUAAAGCGGAGGCAGUUAACCAAUUAUAGUCUGACGCUAAAACAACGAAGCUUGAGCAAGCAAAAGGG